CAUUGACUUUUAAUUUGCCAGUGUCCUCAUGCGGGCCAGUCAGGGUCAGCCAUCGGGCCGGAUGUGGCCUGCAGGCCAUACAGUGCCCAGGUCUGGUAUAGUGUUUAGAGGCUGAUUAGUUUUAUAGAUGUUUGAAUUGUUUCAACAAACCUAGCUUUGCUUGAGCUGGUAUAACCCUUCACUUAAUACAGUGAAGCCUUUGAGCAAAGCUGUCAGAGCUUUGAAUGUAUGGUUUCUGCUCUUUCUGAGUGAAAUCACAAUCAUUGAAACAAUAGCUUUUAGGGGAACUAUAACUCUAUCUAAUACAACUUGAUUCCCUGAGCUGUCUUUCAGGAAAACCUUUUGUCUUGUCUGGAUUAAGCUUCAACUUUUUUGCCUUUACUCAGUCCACUACUGACAUUGCAUGAUGAUUAGAAUACUUUGCUUGGAUGUCAUCAGUAUACUGGUGACACCAAAUCCCAAAACUGCAUCUCCCAUGUUCACAUAGAUGUUAUGAGAGAACAAGAUGGAACCCUGAGGGAUAUCACAAGCCAAUGGACUUUCAAACAGGAAUAUCUUUUGAAUUAUCUUCUCCAGGAAGAAUGGGAACCACCAUAAAAAAGUGCUUCCCAGCCUAUCCUGAAGAAGUAGCUUAGGAGAAGAGUAGGCAAUCUUGUGCCUUUGGGUGCCAGUGCACUUCAGGUAUUUUUUUGGUGUCUGCCAAGGUGUCCUAUGGCUUCUUACCAUUUUCUUACCAGCAGUUAGGAUUACUUGUACUCAGCCAUUUUAGGCACAUUGCUCAUUUUGAAUUACUAGCCAUGCCAACCACAGGAGCCAUUUUGUGGUGGGGCCUAGGGCAGUUCUUCAAGUUAUUAAAAGCUAACAUGAGGUCUAGCAAAAGUAACAGGGACAUACCUCCUCUGCCCACUUCCUGGUAUGAAUGGCCUACAGAGGUGACUUUUAACCAGGCCAGAAGCCAGACUGAAAUAGAGAGGAAGGAUAUUUUCCUGAGUUCUCAAAUCACGUUGGAUAUACAACCUUAGAGAUUCCAAAAGUCUUGAAAUGUAGUGCCUAGUAUAAAUAUCUUCUCCCUCAAGGGGAGAGGAAGCCCCAACUUUUACCCAUUUUCAAAUCCCUGUCCAAACUUCCCGGUCAAGUCCUGCUUAAAUUUCUGUUUUCAAAGAAACCUCCAUCUUUGACAGUUGUGAAAGACAAGUAUUAGCAAAAGUGUGUGUGUGUGUGGGGGGGGGGGGCAUUUUCCCAUAUGCCCAGGUCCUGAAACUGGGUGGAAAAGUAAUGGGAACUGGGUUGGGGGGUGUACAUUCAGAACUGUAAGGUUCUUGCCUCAAAGGGGGUGGUCUACUGGCCACUCCCUUUUGUGAACAAGAAGUUUUGCUUUGACCAGAGUGCUCACCUUUUGACAGCUGUCAGGGGAAAACAAAUUGGGGGAAAAACUAUUUGGAGUCUUUCUGAGUAAAAGUCAGUUGGUACUUGCUGCACUUUAACAAGUACCCCACCACCACCAGCAGAGACAUUGCCCAGACAAGGUUUCCCACUUUGGACCCAUGGAACUAAACUAAAAUAAUUCUCUUUGUAUUUACUGGAAAAUGUGCAUAUUUGAUCCUCAAAGAAGUAAUUAUAAAAAGUAGCCAACAAAUGACUACCUGUCCAGUAUAUAACUUGGGUACUUUGGAGUGACUAAAGAGUAAAAGAAAAAAAAAAUCUGCAGUCAACAAAAUGUGCUUGCACUUAUGGCAGGGUGGCACCAAGUUAGUUACAGUCAUGCCCAAGUGUUGCUUUAGCACUUCUUGGAUUGCUGUCGCUGGUGGUGGCCCAGGCAAACUUGGAAAGAACGACAAGGUGCUUUUGCUGCUCCUGUCAGUCACCCAGAUUCAGAUGGCAUAGCAAACUAUUAUGGAUGCAAUAACCCUGACAACAUUCCAUGAGGGAUCAGGCUGGCUUGUUACCCAUGAACAAGCCACCUGUUGGAAAUGGUCCAGAUUUGCACAAUAGGACACCCCACCAUGGCUUGUCAAUUCAUAAGCAGUAUUGUACAUUACAUCUAAAUUUGUUCAGGAAAUUUUAAAACUCAGAUUAAGUUAGUGCAAGGGUGGCUUCAUAGCUGAAGCAUUUUAGUAAGUAUCCAGAGGAAAUGCGGAAUGUAUCUUCAAUAAAGAAACUACAGCUAUGGAGGAAAUUAGCUGUAACUUCCAGAUAAGCUGUUGAAAGUGUGUGUUUCUUCAGAAACAUAUAUUGUUUGUUGCAUAUUGCUAGAAAUUGUGGCUAAUCUCUAUAGCAGUGUUUGGAAACUUUAUUUCUACCCACCCUUCCCUUCAUUGUCCCAAAUCUACUUUCCAUCUCAUUCCAUCCCAUCAUAAUUGGGAACAUUUUACAGUAGUAAUGAGCUUGGCAAGCACAAGGCCUCUGCUUCUUGCCAGAGUAAAACCUACAAAUAAGGAAAACAACAGCAUCUCCCUAGCUUCUCUCUCCACCCUUUAAAGUGAGGCGGCUGGCACCGCUGUACCCAUGCUGCAAGAAGGAUAGAAUGUCCUGCCUGCAGCUUCACACAGAUGGCCUGGAAUUGGUCCACAUUGAGCAACAGAGUGGAGUGUCACUCACUGACCAUCCUUCUGUUUGUGAUUAAACAGGGAAGACAGUGUGUCUAAUUUUCCUUUCCUGAUUUCAGAAUGUACUGGUGUGUGUUGUUCAUCAAGAAAAAUUCUACACCGAACGAAUCUUCUAGAAAAGAAUCUGAGGGAGAGCCAAUGUAUUACAGACUUGUAAAAAUCCUGUAUUUUCCAGUUUCAUCUGAAUUGGAAGUUCAAAUUAUGAAGACCCAAGAGACUGUGUGUAUUAUUUUAACUGGAGAGGAAAAGCUAUCUCUGUUCCUGUUCAGACUAUCUGCAGGCAUGCAAAGAAGCUGAAUCACUGGUGGAUGACAGUCUCUUUAUUUUUAAACUUAAAUGACAGCGAUAAUAUGUUGAGCUUUAAACAGAAGAAUGAGAUGUGUUGGCAUUUUGGCCUCUUUGAUACUGGACAGAUGUCAUAUGAGUUGGAUCCAACUGUAACAGUCUGCUGGCAGAAUGGAAAACACUAGCAGAACGGAUUCCCCUUUCCUCUUGUAGCUUCAGUGUACACACCCAGAAUCUUCUCUGGAGGUCAGCGGACCUUAGGAGAAGAUUUGGGGUAUGCAUUGAAGGGGGAAAGGGGAAGACAAGGAAGUUGGAUCCAACCCUACAGGGGUUGGAUGCACUUUGGUGUGCAUGGCACUCAGAAGUUGCUUGAGGCUUCCAUCUUGCUGUGUGAUAACAGCUAAAACAAAAACUUGUCUGCAGUGAAUACUCAGCUGUCCUUUUACAAAGGUUCACAUCAAGCAUCCAUCCAAGUAGCUGCUUGCUAUAUUAGCAGCUACUGCAUGAUAGUGCAUUUUAUUUUUUCUGUUUUCUUAAAUAGCCCAUGAAAGAUAAACUGAAUGGGAAUUGGAUAAUAGCUAGUUCUGAUGUUAGAAAUAGUCUUUUAGAACCCAUGUUAGGCACUUCUUUCUUUAUUCUAUUAAACAUAUGAGGGAAGUCUUUCUUUUCCUCAUGUCAUUAUGUUUUGCUGGAUAGCCUGCAUAUGAUAGGAUGAAGGAUAGGAUGAAGAAGUGGAACACUCUAAAUAUGGUAGUAUAAGGAUAUUAUGCAUCCAUUCAAGCAAAAACUGUUGUUAUUUAUGUAUUCUUUGCUGGGAAUUGCAAAAAGCAUUAGGAUUAUGACACAAACUUGUAAAAAAGAAGCAAAUGUAGGUGGCUUAGUUAUGUCAAACAUAUUUUCAGUGAGACACAGGCAAUCUGAUUUCUUUAGAGGAUAGAACAAAAAAAAAAUCAUAUCAACUGAUUCCAAAACUCAUUUUUAAAAUAAAGUGUAGCAACUUUUCCAUCACUUACUAUUGUCCUGAUAAUGGAGAGUGGAAAACAACCGAGCAAUAAUAAUUACCAUGAUUAAAGAUUUAGUGAACUUGUAAUGUCUGGCUUCAUAUCAUAGCCGGGCCACAGAUCCACUGGUUGGAUUUGGACAUGCUUUCUUAGUCUCAAUUUUGUAUCAUAUAAAAGGUAUAUUAUCCUCUUUGACAGGCAUGUUGUGAAGUCAAACAAACAUAGCCAUUAAAAGCAUGGGAUGCUUUAAAAUGGCCGGGCACUUAUACAUUUCAUAAUUGCUGGGUUACAGAGUUGGGGUGGGCAACCUGGCUAUCCAGAUGUUCUGGAGUGUAGCUCCCAUAAGCAUUAGCCAGCAAGGCAGCAUAGUCAGUGGCAGGAAUGAUGGGAAUAGUACACCAAAUUGUCUAGAGUGUCACAAUCUAGAGAGAGACUGUUGCUUCAGAGGCACAAGUAAGUGGCAAAUUUUAUUUCAAAGAGCUCUUGUGCUCUGACAUUUUUGCAAUGCUGUAGAUGUACCACAAAGAAUAUACUUCAUAGAAUCCAGAUGGUGGCUGUAAUUGCUUUGUGUGCAUUGUUUUCAUGGACUGAUGUAACUAAGUCAGGUGAAAGAAGGAUUUUCGCCUUUUACUGCAGAUGUCUGUUUCAAGAUACAUAUAAUGGUCUCAAGUCAAAUUAUCAAUUGUGUUAAAAAAUAUGACUAACAUUUCUUUAUUUUCAGGAAUGGAUAAGGCUUAGUGGUGUAUGGUGGCAUUUAAAGCCACAUAUACAUGCUUUGUUUUCUGGCCUUAGUGCAAUUCAGCAACACUACCUCAAUUCAUCAGUGCCCAUAUUGUCUGUGAAUUUCUUCUGCCACUUUCUGAUUUUACUUGACAAUGUGCACACAUCCUGGCAAAUUCUGGUUAGUGCUUUCUUCAAGUUAUUUUUUUACAGAAUUAUCUGACAGCAAUUCAGAGGCAGUGUGUUAAUAAUUCCUUUUAAUAAGAAAUGUGGUGGCCUCAUGCUAGUCAGGAGAGUUAAGUUCUGGAAAUCAUCCAUGGAAAUUGUAGAUGAAGCAUAGGAUAAUUGGUGGAAUUUGGUAGAAUUAUGGAAGAAUAAUUGUGUAGCAAACAAGCAAAAGAAAGGAAAAGAGUUGGCUCCAGAUGGACAAAUUUCUCUGUGUCCAGUAAGAACAAAAACAAACAAAAGGAGAGGAAAGGUUUCCUUCUCCUACUUCAACAAGAGGAAAGAGGAACUCUGACAGUAUGGGAGAAGGGAUAUAAUUGCCAACCUCACUGUACGGCUCGGGUUUGCUGAGUAUCUUCAGCCAGCCCUUGAAGCUCCCACUAUUUUGUUGUACUCAAGUUCAGAAUUUAUGAACAGUGCAAGGGUGUCCCUGCUUAUGUUGCACUGUUGAGGUUUGCAGCUCACCCAUGUUGUUCUCCUCCUCCUCUGUCCUCAUGUUGUCUUAAAGGUGUUACUUGAUGGCAUCCGUUCAUUUCCUGUUAAGUCUUCCUUUUCACCAAAACCUCCGUUUCAGAAUAACAGGUAGAUAGAUAGAAAUUGCUGCUACAAUCACUUACGAAUUAGUCACUUUUGAGAAGGGCUAUAUGAUUUUUUUCUACCACACCUGUAAUGCCUUGGUUUUUUUUUUCUCUUGCUUGCCUGGACAAACAUGGAAGGGAAAUGAGCCAUAGCAGUGUUUUAUUUUUCCUUGGUAAAUCAUUGUCCUCACUAAUUAAUCUUGCUACCGUUUAAAAAUGUUUUAUUGCUGUUUGAGAAAUCCUGUUCCAUAAUCCUUUACAUUUAUCUGCAUGAAGUUGCAUAUAAUGGAGAUUCUUCAAUAAGAAUUGGUCUUGUAGACCAGGAAUGUACACCAUAACUAUAGGUUAAUUGCACGCUUCCUCUUGGCUAUUUGCAUCCCCCCAGGGUAUUUUGAAAUACACAUAGUAGCUCAUUCCCACCUCUUCAGUGGAGCAUUUGCAGUUGAUAGAAGCUCAUCAAGAGUGGGACUGGAAACAGUAAAAUAGGGAAAACAAUAAAAUUUAUUCAAAAAAAAAGUGGGAUUGGAAGAGUGUCUGUUUUGUGUCUUGUGUUGCUCUUUCUCUUCCUACCCAGCCAUAUUAUAUUGCCUCUUUUAUCUGCAGCUUUCAUUAUCUGAAUUGAUGGGAGAAUGGAAAACUGACUGAGUAGGUGCCAUGGGCAGAUGCAGAAAUCAGAAGUAAGAAGGAAGGGGAAAAUAAUGAGUUGAAGAGCAGAGAGUUCUUUGGUACAAAGAAUGAGUGUUGUGGAGUGAAUAGAGGGAGAAAACUAGGGAGAACUCACAAAUAUGUUUUGUGGAGGUAAGCAGUAAAAUAGCCAGAUUUAUGAAAGUUAUUAAAUUAGGCACCUUGAGACGUACUGCUGCAUGGCUCCUUCCUUUGCUGUUGGGGAAAUGUGAAGAGCCAGUGAGGAAACAAGUGCUGGUUCUUCCACAUGGCCCUAGGCUUCUCAUAUUACCUCAGCUUCUCACAUAACAGAAGAUGGCCCAUUAGGUAGAAAUCCAAAGCAGACUGCAGAAAGUUCUGGACUGGAUGAAUAAGCCAAUGAGAUUCAGUAAGUAACUAUAACAUGAUGCACUC